UACAGAGGUCCCAAGCGUUGUUCGGAUUCACUGGGCGUAAAGGGUGCGUAGGUGGUGAGGUAAGUCGGAUGUGAAAUCUCCGAGCUCAACUCGGAAAAUGCAUUGGAAACUACCUUGCUCGAGGGUUGGAGGGGGGACUGGAAUGCUUGGUGUAGCAGUGAAAUGCGUAGAUAUCUGGAGGAACACCGGUGGCGAAGGCGGCAUCCUGGACCGAGAUUGACGCUGAGGCGCGAAAGCCAGGGGAGCAAACGGG
rnacentral:rRNA from 1 species